CAUUUCUUGGCUGGUUUGAAGAAAUUCUAAGGAGAUCCAAGUGAAAUCAAAGCCAAAGAAGUGGAUUAAGCUUAGUUCUAGCCUUUUUAUGAUAUUUUUUGGUGGUUUCCAAGUGGUUUGAGGUUUAGAAAAGCUUGAAGAGAUUGUUUUCGCCGAAAAGUUGCUCGGUAGAGAAAGAAAUGAGUGAAUGACAUAAGGAGAACUGAAGCAUGGUCCUGACCCUGAUUUGUACAUAUGAGCAUAUCGACUUUUUUGUGGGUUAUUUCAGUUAUCAGUGUGAUGUUUGUAAUAAAUUGUGAAGUUAUGUUUUGAAAACAAAUUGGGUUAUUUAAUACUUAUGUAUAAUAUGUUUGAGACACA